AACGAACGCUGGCGGCAUGCCUAACACAUGCAAGUCGAACGAAGUCUUCGGACUUAGUGGCGCACGGGUGCGUAACGCGUGGGAAUCUGCCCUUGGGUGCGGAAUAACUUCUCGAAAGGGAUGCUAAUACCGCAUAAUGUCGUAAGACCAAAGAUUUAUCGCCCAAGGAUGAGCCCGCGUAAGAUUAGCUAGUUGGUGGGGUAAAAGCCUACCAAGGCGACGAUCUUUAGCUGGUCUGAGAGGAUGAUCAGCCACACUGGGACUGAGACACGGCCCAGACUCCUACGGGAGGCAGCAGUGGGGAAUAUUGGACAAUGGGCGAAAGCCUGAUCCAGCAAUGCCGCGUGAGUGAUGAAGGCCCUAGGGUUGGUAAAGCUCUUUUACCUAGGGAUGAUAAUGACAGUACCGGGA
rnacentral:rRNA from 1 species